rnacentral:rRNA from 1 species
UGGCUCAGGAUGAACGCUAGCUACAGGCUUAACACAUGCAAGUCGAGGGGCAUCAGGAAGAAAGCUUGCUUUCUUUGCUGGCGACCGGCGCACGGGUGAGUAACACGUAUCCAACCUGCCCUUUACUCGGGGAUAGCCUUUCGAAAGAAAGAUUAAUACCCGAUAGUAUAAUGAUUCCGCAUGGUUUCAUUAUUAAAGGAUUCCGGUAAAGGAUGGGGAUGCGUUCCAUUAGGUUGUUGGUGAGGUAACGGCCCACCAAGCCUUCGAUGGAUAGGGGUUCUGAGAGGAAGGUCCCCCACAUUGGAACUGAGACACGGUCCAAACUCCUACGGGAGGCAGCAGUGAGGAAUAUUGGUCAAUGGGCGCUAGCCUGAACCAGCCAAGUAGCGUGAAGGAUGAAGGCUCUAUGGGUCGUAAACUUCUUUUAUAUAAGAAUAAAGUGCAGUAUGUAUACUGUUUUGUAUGUAUUAUAUGAAUAAGGAUCGGCUAACUCCGUGCCAGCAGCCGCGGUAAUACGGAGGAUCCGAGCGUUAUCCGGAUUUAUUGGGUUUAAAGGGAGCGUAGGUGGACUGGUAAGUCAGUUGUGAAAGUUUGCGGCUCAACCGUAAAAUUGCAGUUGAUACUGUCAGUCUUGAGUACAGUAGAGGUGGGCGGAAUUCGUGGUGUAGCGGUGAAAUGCUUAGAUAUCACGAAGAACUCCGAUUGCGAAGGCAGCUCACUGGACUGCAACUGACACUGAUGCUCGAAAGUGUGGGUAUCAGACAGGAUUAGAUACCCUGGUAGUCCACACAGUAAACGAUGAAUACUCGCUGUUUGCGAUAUACAGUAAGCGGCCAAGCGAAAGCAUUAAGUAUUCCACCUGGGGAGUACGCCGGCAACGGUGAAACUCAAAGGAAUUGACGGGGGCCCGCACAAGCGGAGGAACAUGUGGUUUAAUUCGAUGAUACGCGAGGAACCUUACCCGGGCUUAAAUUGCAGUGGAAUGAUGUGGAAACAUGUCAGUGAGCAAUCACCGCUGUGAAGGUGCUGCAUGGUUGUCGUCAGCUCGUGCCGUGAGGUGUCGGCUUAAGUGCCAUAACGAGCGCAACCCUUAUCUUUAGUUACUAACAGGUUAUGCUGAGGACUCUAGAGAGACUGCCGUCGUAAGAUGUGAGGAAGGUGGGGAUGACGUCAAAUCAGCACGGCCCUUACGUCCGGGGCUACACACGUGUUACAAUGGGGGGUACAGAAGGCAGCUAGCGGGUGACCGUAUGCUAAUCCCAAAAGCCUCUCUCAGUUCGGAUCGAAGUCUGCAACCCGACUUCGUGAAGCUGGAUUCGCUAGUAAUCGCGCAUCAGCCACGGCGCGGUGAAUACGUUCCCGGGCCUUGUACGCACCGCCCGUCAAGCCAUGGGAGCCGGGGGUACCUGAAGUACGUAACCGCAAGGAUCGUCCUAGGGUAAAACUGG